rnacentral:lncRNA from 1 species
CCUCCUCCUCCCUUCCCCUCUCUGUUCUGUUGCAUGGAAUCCUGUUGCCGAUGGGUGGGUCUCCCUCUCCCUUUUUCCUUUCCCCUCUCCUGGUCUCCAUCUCCGGCGAGUCCUCCUCUGUUCGUAGCCAUGGAGAAGAAGAGAGAGAGAGGAAGUUGCGUGUGAACAGCUAUCUUCAAUCUCUCAGUCAAAUUACUCAAUGUUAUAUAUGUACAUGUCAUUGUUAGUCCCUGUAGUUUGUCAGAGAUAUAAUUUGGUUCCUUUGUAAUAUUAUUUAAUCAACUAGAUAAGAUUUCGGGGAUCGGGGCGGGGAUAUCAAAACCUCCCCCCGCACCGCUCCUCGAUUUUUUUUUUUUAAUCCCCGAUUCCCGCCCCGACCCCGAAAAAUCCACAAAACAAUUCACCCCGAUCGGGGGGGCGGGGCGGGGCAAAUUGCCAUGCCUACCUCUCCUGUUGCUCUCUGGAACUCGCUCGUUUGUUCCGCCACUGUCGUCCCUCUCUGGGGAAGCUUCAACACAAGCCUUCUCAAUAAGACUUUGUUCUGAGAGUUUUCUCCCUGACAAUCUCUUCUUCCAAUUUGGUGGUCCAAAACCCAUGAACACUCGUCCUCAUCGUGCUCAUGUUGGAAACCCUCUUGUUCAAAUGCAUUAUCUGAGUCUGUAACACUUGUCUCAUCGGGGCUACAAUGAUUGAACACCUCAUGUCCAAUGCAUUGUCUGAUUCUCCCAAUCAUCUUCCUGUUCAUCCAUUCUCAUCAUUGGUUUUCCUGGGGCGUAAUCCGCAUCUGAAAGCAUGAUCAGGCGCUCAAAAAUUACUCUACUCUACUUUACUCUGCCUUCUUACUUUUCCAAAAUGGAAGCAAAAUCUUUGAAAACCGACCUCGCGGAUGAAUCUGGAAUGAUGAGAAAACUUAAAAAGGGCUUUUCUGUCAAAAUCAGACACUUCUGGGACUCAAAUUGAUUAAAUCAGAACUUUAGGGAAUAAUUUCAAAUUUCUCAAACUUUAAGGACCAAUCUGUAAUUAACAUAAAGUCAAGGGAAAAACUGAAAUUUUCCGUUGACUGGUCAACGGUCAACGGUCGGUCAACGCUGGUCAACGGGUCAGUCAACGCCGAUCAACGGUCAACAGCUCUGGUCAACCUGGCUCGUGGUCAACGGCUCGGUCAACGCCGGCUUGGCUCGGUCAACGGGUCAACGGCUCAGGUUUGACUGGUCAACGCCUCAGUUUGACCGGUCAAUGGCUGUGAUUUUUUUUUUUUUUUAAAAUUUUCAGACAUCAUCAUUGCCCUUUAAAAAAGAUGUUACUUUUUUUUUCUUUUCCUUUUUUUUUCUUUCUAAUCAUGAAUGUUUCCCUUGUGCUGAAAAUGGCAUAUUCCUUGGGUGAAAGCGCGGGGGCCGCGUUGCGGGCGCUGUGGAAGGAACUCGUCUUCUCCUCUGGCGCGCGUGGGGUGCGUGAUCUGACGCGCCGAACUUCAUAGGCGCGCGUGAGGGCUCGUCCGGCGUCCGAUUUGACGCGGUUUGGUGAUGGAGUUUCGUCUCGGACGAGACGAUCUGUGGUAUGCUCAACGCCAUUUUUGAAGCACUUUGGAUUAGUCCUGAAUUGGAAUCGGCUCUCCGUUCACCGCCGAAAUCCGCUCCGGUGACUCGACCUUGGCUCUGAUACCAAUUGUUGUGCCCAAGGACUAACCACCAGUCACAUCUAACUAUAUCAACGCACAACACAUGUAUACAACUAUAUACGUGGUUGGCCAAUCUGCCUACAUCCACGGAGAGAAACAAAUACUUACUAUCACGAAUGAAUUACACUGAGUACAAGGGAGGAGCUUAUCUCCACUCACUCUCAGUACUCUCUUCAUCUCUCACUAAUCUCACUGUCUCUCUCAGAUCUCACAGCACCAAUUCUAACCCCCCUCUCAGUCCGAUCUAUCACGUGGCCUCGCCUCUCCUGUGCUAUCAAUAGCACCAUAGCACUUGACCAUCCCCUCUCUCUCACAGCCCCCUUCUGCACACACACAACCAUGCUGUGUGCUCCGCGGUAAUCCCCCCAUGAUACAUUUCUGCUCCGCCCCUUCUUCCCUCUCUUAGCAACCUUCUCAAUUUUAGGCCCUUAGAGCAGAGAAAUGAGCUCAUGCUGAGCUCAUUGUGCCUCCAUUCUUGACCAUUGGGAGCCUCCAUCUGCGACUUCUUCGCAGUCCAUCUGCGACUUCCUCUGACAAGCUGUCAAGCAUCUCUCUCCUUCUUUCUUCUUUCUCUUCCUCCGUCUAUAAGGAUUCUCAUUUUAGAAAAGAAAGAACACAGAUUAUAAUUGGUGGGCUUGGGGGCCUUUUCUUUAUGGGCUUGGGCUUUCUAAUUGGCUUUGCGUCCAAUUUUGGGCUUGGCCUCCAUUUGGGCUUGAUCCAACAUGGGGGCUUGGGCAAAUAUUUAUGGCUAUCCCUCAAUGACCAAAUCCUGGAUUACUCAAUGCACACUAACCCACAUUUAUCAAAAUUAAAAGGUUUACACAUCCGCGGGUUGGCCAUGGAAUUUCUAAACAAACAAUUAACUGUUUAAUAAUCACUAAAUGUAUUACUAAAUGGAAGCAAAACUUAAUGAAGUUAGAGCUAAAUGUAGUUAUAAGCUAAAUGGAAAAUAUUUGAAUUGGGAUCAAACUCCCCCGCAUUACACUCUCCCCACCUAGGAAGUUGGGUUCUUCCCAAACCAAGCAUGCCUUAUAGAAAUAGUUUUGGAUAGCGUGUCCUUAAGUGACCUCCUUCUUUCAUGUCGCUUUGCCACCGGAGUGGGUGAACUACGACAACCCUUGCCAAUGGUGUCGACUUACGUAGUUGCUGUACUUGACGAUUGGCAAUCUGCACAGCUAGCCUUGAUAACUAAGUCUUGUUCCAAUUCCAUUGGUGGUCUUGUUAGCAAGUGGGUUGGGUUCAGUACAGAGUGUUGUAACAUGGAGACGUGAAAGAUAUUGUGAGCCUUUGACAAUUCUGGUGACAAUGGAAGUUUCUUAGGCAACCUCUGCCAUUCUUGGAGUGACUUCGAAGGGCCAAUGAACCUUGGACUUAGCUUUCCUUUCUUUCCAAAACAAAUGAAUCUUCCAUUGUGGACACUCAAAAAUACGAAUUCUCCAAAUUCAAAUCUAACUCAUCCUCUUCUUUUGGCUUCUUAACUCUUUCCUUACCGACCUCUGGCUCUACUAGUUGUCGUUUCCAACCUCUACCCAUAGAUAAAUGAUUUGCAUCUCCCCACCCAUACAAAAGCUUCGUAGGGGUCAUUCCAUUUUAGUCUGGUAGGCGAAUUCUAUCAGCGGUAAAUGGUCACCCCAACUACCCUAAAAUUCUAGUUCAUCGGCUCUUAACAUGUCUUUGAUAUUUUUUUUUAUGUUUUUAUUGUGAGUUAGCUAACUAAAUUUGGUGAUAUAAUAAUUUGGUGUUUGAUUAUUUCAUGUUCUCUAAUGCCUAGUGUUUACUAGUGUGCCUAUUUAGAACUGGGUGGGCGGGUGGGUAUACCAAGUAAACCUUUUAAUCUGAUGUACGUGUUGGAGUGUAUUGAGUAAUCUUGGAUUUGGCCAUUUGAGGACUAGUCAUAGUAUUUGGCCAAUUCCAGUCAUCUUCACUACUCCAUACUAAAUUGUACGUUAGCCAUGAAGGGGUAACUUUCAUGGCAACUCUUAGCACCACCUCUUGGUUGUAUGAAUAUGCGUAAGCUAUAAGUCAAUGGCAAAUAUAUUGCUAGUAGCGAAUUGCAUGGCUCCUUCCUUGCUGUUAGCAAAAUGCUACACACAACUUCAAAAUCAUCAAUUAUGCAGAUCGAACUUUCGAGAAAACUCUUAGUUGCUUGAAAAUGACUUCCAAGUUUAUAAAUUACAAUUACUAACCAUGUCAGUUCUAGAAAUUACAAUUACUAACCAUGUCAGUGCUAAUAUUAAACUUUAAACUCUUUUGACUGCUCAGGCUAGGCUUUAAUUUACUGCUACUUCUACGAAUGUGCUGAUAUAUUUAUGAUUAUACUCUAAUGUUCUUUUGUUUGUUGGCUGCCAGCAUGGUGGUGGCCAGGUAUUCAAAUCCCUUCAGAGGUUGGUCCAGAAAUCUGAUGCGAGAAAGAUUUCUGUGGGGACAAUUAUUGUUGAGGAGAGAGCAUGACCUCACGUCACUUGAAGCUUGUGUUCUGAAGGGAAAAUACCCAUGAUGGUUGGUACUAAUAACCAUUUCUCCUUGUUAGUAGCUUAGUGACUAAAACAAUCACACGCUCCUAAUAGGGUUUAUUGCCUGUUUCCCUAUUCAAUAAAAAAAAUGGUUGUGAUAUCUUUUUUUCUCUUCAAUUUACCUUUUUAUGUGUUCUAGUCAUGAGAUAAUCAUUUCAUGCAGUCCUGCUAGCUGGACAUUAAUCAGCUUACAUGCUGGAAGAGUUACCGGUCUUGGGAACAAGCAUUUACUCUCCUUUGCCACAAUCAAGAUUUUGGGAGUUUCCAUCUUUCCAGGCACUGAGUCAAGGAAAUAUGAAAAUCUCUUUCUGAAGCGGCUUGUUCUGUGUAACUUUGCGGUAGUUGUACCAUUAAAUGCUUGAAUUUUAUGUUUUGAGAAAAACCAAAAUAAUGAAAUAUUUUAAUGUUAAUUAUUUGAUGCAUUUGUUUUGUGUUAAGAUAUUGGGUUCAUCCAUUGAAUUUAAAAUACAAACACAAUUUGCUUGUUCAACUCCCAUCUGCUUUGAAGAGCAGAGGUAAGUAGUGCUUACUUGACAAGAAAAUUUGUUGAAUAGGAAUUCGUUUCAUAGUUUAGCAGUGAAUUCGAACAGUGAUUCUUGAAGUUGACCACUUGAUGUUUUAAAUGAUGGAAGGCGGUUAAGCAUUACAAAUUCAGUUUCUAAUUUAUUUCUUUCAAACAUUCUGAAUGGGAUUUCAGCUUUUAGUUUUUAAUACUACUCAGUUGUUUCUUUUUGAAGGUUUCAGCUAGGCCUCCUAAAUGAUAUGCUGUGGUUUCUCCAGCAUAAGCUGAAAAUGUAGAUAAGGAAUGA